rnacentral:rRNA from 1 species
GAUGUCGACUUGGAGGUUGUGCCCUUGAGGCGUGGCUUCCGGAGCUAACGCGUUAAGUCGACCGCCUGGGGAGUACGGCCGCAAGGUUAAAACUCAAAUGAAUUGACGGGGGCCCGCACAAGCGGUGGAGCAUGUGGUUUAAUUCGAUGCAACGCGAAGAACCUUACCUGGUCUUGACAUCCACGGAAGUUUUCAGAGAUGAGAAGGUGCCUUCGGGAACCGUGAGACAGGUGCUGCAUGGCUGUCGUCAGCUCGUGUUGUGAAAUGUUGGGUUAAGUCCCGCAACGAGCGCAACCCUUAUCCUUUGUUGCCAGCGGUCCGGCCGGGAACUCAAAGGAGACUGCCAGUGAUAAACUGGAGGAAGGUGGGGAUGACGUCAAGUCAUCAUGGCCCUUACGACCAGGGCUACACACGUGCUACAAUGGCGCAUACAAAGAGAAGCGACCUCGCGAGAGCAAGCGGACCUCAUAAAGUGCGUCGUAGUCCGGAUUGGAGUCUGCAACUCGACUCCAUGAAGUCGGAAUCGCUAGUAAUCGUGGAUCAGAAUGCCACGGUGAAUACGUUCCCGGGCCUUGUACACACCGCCCGUCACACCAUGGGAGUGGGUUGCAAAAGAAGUAGGUAGCUUAACCUUCGGGAGGGCGCUUACCACUUUGUGAUUCAUGACUGGGGUGAAGUCGUACAAGG